rnacentral:pre_miRNA from 1 species
CUCAUAUAGGGAAUCUUGUUAAAAUGCAGAUUCUGAUUGAGUAGUUCUGGGACCAGCCCAAGAUUCUGCAUUUCUAACAAGCUCCCAGAUGAAGCUGA